rnacentral:rRNA from 1 species
UACACUCCUGCGGGAGGCAGCAGUGGGGAAUUUUGGACAAUGGGCGAAAGCCUGAUCCAGCCAUGCCGCGUGCAGGAUGAAGGCCUUCGGGUUGUAAACUGCUUUUGUACGGAACGAAACGGCCUUUUCUAAUAAAGAGGGCUACUGACGGUACCGUAAGAAUAAGCACCGGCUAACUACCUUCCAGCAGCCGCGGUAAUACGUAGGGUGCAAGCGUUAAUCGGAAUUACUGGGCGUAAAGCGUGCGCAGGCGGUUAUGUAAGACAGUUGUGAAAUCCCCGGGCUCAACCUGGGAACUGCAUCUGUGACUGCAUAGCUAGAGUACGGUAGAGGGGGAUGGAAUUCCGCGUGUAGCAGUGAAAUGCGUAGAUAUGCGGAGGAACACCGAUGGCGAAGGCAAUCCCCUGGACCUGUACUGACGCUCAUGCACGAAAGCGUGGGGAGCAAACAGGAUUAGAAACCCUAGUAGUCCCAUG